GAGUUUGAUCCUGGCUCAGGAUGAACGCUGGCGGCGUGCUUAACACAUGCAAGUCGAACGGAAAUGAUACGCUGAUGCGAUCUCGGUCAAAUCAUGUAUCAUUUUAGUGGCGGACGGGUGAGUAACGCGUGGGUAACCUGCCUUACACCGGGGGAUAACACCUGGAAACAGGUGCUAAUACCGCAUAAGCGCACGGGAGCGCAUGAUCCUGUGUGAAAAACUCCGGUGGUGUAAGAUGGACCCGCGUCUGAUUAGCUGGUUGGCGGGGUAACGGCCCACCAAGGCGACGAUCAGUAGCCGGCCUGAGAGGGUGGACGGCCACAUUGGGACUGAGACACGGCCCAAACUCCUACGGGAGGCAGCAGUGGGGGAUAUUGGACAAUGGGGGAAACCCUGAUCCAGCGACGCCGCGUGAGUGAAGAAGUAUUUCGGUAUGUAAAGCUCUGUCAGCAGGGAAGAAAGAAAUGACGGUACCUGACCAAGAAGCCCCGGCUAACUACGUGCCAGCAGCCGCGGUAAUACGUAGGGGGCAAGCGUUAUCCGGAAUUACUGGGUGUAAAGGGAGCGUAGACGGUAAUGUAAGUCUGGAGUGAAAGGCGGGGGCCCAACCCCCGGACUGCUCUGGAAACUAUGUUACUAGAGUGCAGGAGAGGUAAGCGGAAUUC
rnacentral:rRNA from 1 species